CAAGCUCCUGUAGCAAAAUAAAGAUAUUUCAAAUUACCACAGGACAUCUCUGUUAUUAUUACAACUUUCUUGUUGCAUUAAAACCGUAUAAGAGAAGUACAGGUUUUUAUCAUAUAUACCGGAACUAAAUUUUCUUGGAACGAAUACACUUGUUUAGCACGUGUGCAAAUGGCAAAUUGCCUGCCUUUGUUUGAAAGACCAGUAAAAGUAUAAGAUAGCCCUUGUCUUGUGGGUCAGACUAGAAUCAUGUGUUGAGCAAAAUGAGCCAAGCAUUUAAUGGUGAAUGUCGAAAACAACUGGAAACGGAACGCAUGACAAUCAGACAAGAUUUGAUGUGUUCCUAAAAUGAGUUCAGCAGCAACAGACAUUGAUCUAAUGCACAACAAGGCAAAUUGAGAACACUGGUACAAUAGCAUAUAAUCUUGCAGAUGAUAGUAAGAGACAGAGAUCGGAUAAAAGCUUGGUAUAAGAAAAUGAAGAAGAGAAAGUGGGUAACCAGUAAUAAAAACACCAAACACUUGAAAGAGAUGCUGAAAAUAUCUUGUUUGAAAACAAACAGCUACAGACUGUUUACAAAAUGUACUUUCUGUAGGGCAUAUUUAUCUUUACCAAUUUUAUUUUUUAUGUGUGUUUACAAUGUUGAGAUAUUCAAAAUGCCAACAGAUUCUUUAUCUUUAACAAUAAUAAGAAACCUGUCUUAGAUAGAAAAAGCUAAAAUGUCAGUGACAAGAACAGUUGAAGUUCCCCAUUCCUUUUAAAGACUUAAAGCCAAAGGCUUUAAUUUAAUGACUAAGCUAAAAUUUGAUUUGUUUCUGAUUAGAUCAUAAAUUAUUACUUGAAGAGAAAUGUGAUUCUAAGGAUAAGGUGAGUAUGACUUUAACAU